GAAGCCUUGAUGAGGGGACCACUGGUCACUGAUGCUGCUAACAUUUGCCGUGUGUGCGGUGUCUUCCAUCAGGACAUUAAUUUGGAGAACCUGCUGGUGAACUGGGACACCAUGGAGGUGAAACUGAUUGACUUUGGGUGCAGCCUUCAAAGUUUUCAUGGAACAAGAGCGUACUGUCCUCCAGAGUUCAACAUGAAGGCCACAUACCACGCAAAGCUGAUGACAGUGUGGACACUAGGGUUCCUCUCCUGUAAAAAAUGGUGUCUGAGGAACAUCCUACAGCCUAUGAAUGGAACAUGAACAGUGUGAACCUCUGGACCAGACUCAGCCUGUCACAAGAAUGCUGCCAGAUGAUCUGUGCUUGUCUAAAGCCUAAUCCACAGAAGAGACCCAUACUGGAAUACAAUGGUAAUGCGAAAGCAAAAUAUAGGACUGAUAUAACUUGUU